rnacentral:lncRNA from 1 species
GACACUUCACAGUUGGACUUAGCCAUGUACUAAAAGUUUUUCUUUUUACAUUUAAUGACUCCUGUAGGUUUGGGAUGAUUUUUACUUUUCUCUGGGUAACAGUCAAAGAAGGGCAAUUCCCAAAGCUUGUCAAGUGUUGUCAGCCUAGAACCUGAAGUUAGUAACGAAGAAAAAGCCAAGUCAUCUGGCAAUGACAAGGUGUCACAGUGACAGGCUCCCACAGGGAAUUGUUGGAGUGCCUGCAGCCUGGUGAGGUUGGGCUUCUCAGGCUUAAACAAAAACCAGUCCAUGCGUGCAGUUCUUUGUUGUUUAAUUGUUGUAUCAAGUAUGACCAGCAAGCUCUAUGGGGCUGUAAGGCUUGUAUCCUUCACUUCACCAUGUACACAUGUGCAUUAAUAUCACUGAUAGAAGGGGCUGGGUAAUAAAGCCCAGUGGGCAUCCCUAAAUCCAGAGGUGCAGAGACACGAGGCUUCACAGGAGGAAAGAUUAACAGCCAGCAGUGUUUAUCAGCACCGCCACACAGUGGGAGACAAAACAUUUGGAGUUAAGCUGAUGCGCUAAAGUUAACAAAAUUUAUUUUCUGUUCAGCUACUCCAACAUAAUUUGCAACUGUGUGCUACUCUGGUUUAGGGAUUGAUGCUUCUCUUCAUAAGUACUGUUUUAUGGAAGCUGCCUGUUUCCACAAGUGAUGGAAAGUAAACCAUGCAUGGAGAUGAGAUAAUAGCCCAAAUUAAGUAUACACUGAUAAGACCAACUUUGAGCUGUAUCCCUAGAUACCAAGUAAGAUUCUAGUUCAAUUUGUGUCAAGUUUUCCCUUUUCCGAGAUAAUUUAUGGUUUGGCAAAGUGUAUAAAAGCAUAUAAAUCUAAAGUUGAAGUUUUAGCCUCAGUGCUCUCUCCAAACAUAAGUACUCAACAACAGCAAAUGCUUUAUCUAAAUUUGUGUUUCAGAGGCUGCUUUGACAAUUUUAAGAACAAUUCUGUUUCUGACUUAAUCUAAAAAUACCUAAUGAUGAUGGUAAGCUGUUCCAUUACUUUAAAGAGUCAUCCUAAAAUCUGUGGUAUUGAUCUGGAUUAGAGGGGAGUUCAACCCCAAGGUAUCUACCAAAGGAUCCAAGGCCAGGAAGGUUUACUAAUCACUGGUUGAAGUGGCUGUUUAGAAGUUGGUGCCACACAUCUGAUUUGUCUCUUCCAAAGUAUUUUGAUGUGUCAAGGGAAUAAAAGAGGAGGAGAAAAAGGAUGCUUUGUUAGUUUUACCAUCUCUUUUGCCUGAACUAGACAGCAUGGGUAGAGAUUUGGAAGGGGGG